UGCCAGCAGCCGCGGUAAUACAGAAGGCCCGAGCGUUAAUCAGAAUUACUGGGCUUAAAGCGUGCGCAGGCGGUCCAGCAAGCAUCCCGUGAAAUCCCUCGGCUCAACCGGGGAACUGCGGGGUGAACUGCUGGACUUGAGAAAGGUAGGGGCUGAUGGAACCAUGAGUGGAGCGGUGAAAUGCGUAGAUAUUCAUGGGAACGCCGAUGGGGAAGCCGAUCAGCUGGGCCUUUUCUGACGUUCAUGCACGAAAGCGUGGGGAGCAAACAGGAUUAGAUA
rnacentral:rRNA from 1 species